AUGAAAUUUAAUACCCAAGACACUAACCUUCUUGGUCAAACGACCAUUAUGACGUCAGCAGGAUAGCUGUCUUAAGCGAUAGCUGUGCGUAUGAGGACACACUUCAACGAGUUUAUUGGCUCUUGCUAAAACCUUGUGCAUGACAAUUAUGGCACCAAAUGAAAAGUAAGAACAACGAUGACAAAUUUACAAAUAUUUAAAUAGAAAUGUAUUUACGACGAUGUAGGAAGAAAAAAAACAAUCAUUGGGGCAGGGAUAAAGAAACAAGACGCAACUUUCAGAUUGGGAGGAAGGAGGCACUUAGAAAUUGUAUUCUACGAAGACGCAUCAGGGCACUACAAGUCGCAAGACCGAAUCAAACUAUUCAACUGAAGGAGCAGAGCGAGUAAAUAAAAAUCAGAAAUACAAAAAAA